UGAGUAACACGUAGGCAAUCUACCUUUUGCUGGGGUAUAGGCAGAAGAAAUUUUGAUUAAUUCCCCAUAAUAUAAAGUUUCUGCAUGGAACCUUUAUUAAAGCUGAUGUGGCAAGAGAUGAGCCUGCGUCUGAUAGUUAGUUGGUGAGGUAACUGCUCUACCAAGACUCUGAUCAGUAGGGGACCUUAGAGGGCGAACCUCCACACUGGAACUGAGACACGGUCCAGACUUCUACGGAAGGCAGCAGUGAGGAAUAUUGGUCAAUGGAGGAAACUCUGAACCAGCUACGCCGCGUGCAGGAUGAAAGUCUUUUAGGUUGUAAACUGCUUUUGUAUAGAAAUAAAAUUUACUACGAGUUAGUAAACUGAAGGUACUAUACGAAUAAGUGUCGGCUAAUUCCGUGCCAGCAGCCGCGGUAAUACGGAAGACACAAGCGUUAUCCGGAUUUAUUGGGUUUAAAGGGUGUGUAGGCGGUUUAUUAAGUCAGUAGUGAAAGCUUACAGCUUAACUGUAAAAUUGCUAUUGAUACUGGCAAACUAGAGUAAGAUUGGAGUAUCUGGAAUGUAUGGUGUAGCGGUGAAAUGCAUAGAUAUCAUACAGAACACCAAUAGCGAAGGCAGGAUACUAAAUCUUUAUUGACGCUGAGGCACGAAAGCGUGGGGAGCAAACAGGAUUAGAUACCCUGGUAGUCCACGCCCUAAACGAUGAUCACUAGCUAUUGGAAAAACUAUAUUCAGUGGCUAAGCGAAAGUGAAAGUGAUCCACCUGGGGAAUAUAAUCGCAAGAUUGAAACUCAAAGGAAUUGACGGGGUUCCGCACAAGCGGUGGAGCAUGUGGUUUAAUUCGAUGAUACGCGAGGAACCUUACCAAGGCUUAAAUGUAUUACGAAUAAGCUGGAAACAGUUUAGUCUAUACUGACGGAAUACAAGGUGCUGCAUGGUUGUCUUCAGUUCGUGCUGUGAAGUGUUUGGUUAAGUCCUAUAACGAGCGCAACCCCUAUUGUUAGUUGCCAUCGGGUAAUGCUGGGAACUCUAACAAAACUGCCGGUGUAAAUCGUGAGGAAGGUGGGGAUAAUGUCAAAUCAUCAUGGCCUUUAUGCCUUGGGCUACACACGUGCUACAAUGGCUGGCACAAUGGGCAGCCACUGGGUGACCAGGAGCUAAUCUCUAAAGCCAGUCUAAGUUCAGAUUGGAGUCUGAAAUUCGACUCUAUGAAGCUGGAAUCGCUAGUAAUCGCGCAUCAGCAAUGGCG
rnacentral:rRNA from 1 species